rnacentral:rRNA from 1 species
UGGGGAAGUAAUUGGACAAUGGGGGAAACCCGUGAUCCAGCGACGCCGCGUGAGUGAAGAAGUAUUUCGGUACGUAAAGCUCUAUCAGCAGGAAAGAAAAUGACGGUACCUGACUAAGAAGCCCCGGCUAACUACGUGCC